rnacentral:rRNA from 1 species
GACGUAGGGCGCGAGCGUUGUCCGGAUUUAUUGGGCGUAAAGAGCUCGUAGGCGGCUUGUCGCGUCGACUGUGAAAUCCCGAGGCUCAACUUCGGGCUUGCAGUCGAUACGGGCAGGCUAGAGUUCGGUAGGGGAGACUGGAAUUCCUGGUGUAGCGGUGAAAUGCGCAGAUAUCAGGGGGAACACCGAUGGCGAAGGCAGGUCUCUGGGCCGAUACUGACGCUGAGGAGCGAAAGCGUGGGGAGCGAACAGG